UCAAGUGAAGAAGCGCAUACGGUGGAUGCCUUGGCAGUCAGAGGCGAUGAAAGACGUGGUAGCCUGCGAAAAGCUUCGGGGAGUCGGCAAACAGACUGUGAUCCGGAGAUGUCUGAAUGGGGGAACCCAGCCAUCAUAAGAUGGUUAUCUUGUACUGAAUACAUAGGUGCAAGAGGCGAACCAGGGGAACUGAAACAUCUAAGUACCCUGAGGAAAAGAAAUCAACCGAGAUUCCCUUAGUAGUGGCGAGCGAACGGGGACCAGCCCUUAAGUUGUAUUGAGAUUAGCGGAACGUUCUGGAAAGGACGGCCAUAGUGGGUGAUAGCCCUGUACGCGAAAAUCCCUUUGCAAUGAAAUCGAGUAGGACGGGGCACGAGAAACCUUGUCUGAAUAUGGGGGGACCAUCCUCCAAGGCUAAAUACUACUGACUGACCGAUAGUGAACCAGUACCGUGAGGGAAAGGCGAAAAGAACCGCGGAGAGCGGAGUGAAAUAGAUCCUGAAACCGUAUGCGUACAAGCAGUGGGAGCCCACUUGUUGGGUGACUGCGUACCUUUUGUAUAAUGGGUCAGCGACUUAUUUUCAGUGGCGAGCUUAACCGAAUAGGGGAGGCGUAGCGAAAGCGAGUCUUAAUAGGGCGUCUAGUCGCUGGGAAUAGACCCGAAACCGGGCGAUCUAUCCAUGGGCAGGUUGAAGGUUGGGUAACACUAACUGGAGGACCGAACCGACUACCGUUGAAAAGUUAGCGGAUGACCUGUGGAUCGGAGUGAAAGGCUAAUCAAGCUCGGAGAUAGCUGGUUCUCCUCGAAAGCUAUUUAGGUAGCGCCUCAUGUAUCACUGUAGGGGGUAGAGCACUGUUUCGGCUAGGGGGUCAUCCCGACUUACCAAACCGAUGCAAACUCCGAAUACCUACAAGUGCCGAGCAUGGGAGACACACGGCGGGUGCUAACGUCCGUCGUGAAAAGGGAAACAACCCAGACCGUCAGCUAAGGUCCCAAAGUCAUGGUUAAGUGGGAAACGAUGUGGGAAGGCUUAGACAGCUAGGAGGUUGGCUUAGAAGCAGCCACCCUUUAAAGAAAGCGUAAUAGCUCACUAGUCGAGUCGGCCUGCGCGGAAGAUGUAACGGGGCUCAAACCAUGCACCGAAGCUACGGGUAUCAUCUUUUGAUGAUGCGGUAGAGGAGCGUUCUGUAAGCCUGUGAAGGUGAGUUGAGAAGCUUGCUGGAGGUAUCAGAAGUGCGAAUGCUGACAUGAGUAACGACAAUGGGUGUGAAAAACACCCACGCCGAAAGACCAAGGUUUCCUGCGCAACGUUAAUCGACGCAGGGUUAGUCGGCCCCUAAGGCGAGGCUGAAAAGCGUAGUCGAUGGAAAACAGGUUAAUAUUCCUGUACUUCUGGUUAUUGCGAUGGAGGGACGGAGAAGGCUAGGCCAGCCUGGCGUUGGUUGUCCAGGUUUAAGGUGGUAGGCUGAGAUCUUAGGUAAAUCCGGGAUUUCAAGGCCGAGAGCUGAUGACGAGUGUUCUUUAGAACACGAAGUGGUUGAUGCCAUGCUUCCAAGAAAAGCUUCUAAGCUUCAGGUAACCAGGAACCGUACCCCAAACCGACACAGGUGGUUGGGUAGAGAAUACCAAGGCGCUUGAGAGAACUCGGGUGAAGGAACUAGGCAAAAUGGCACCGUAACUUCGGGAGAAGGUGCGCCGGUGAGGGUGAAGCAUUUACUGCGUAAGUCCACGCCGGUCGAAGAUACCAGGCCGCUGCGACUGUUUAUUAAAAACACAGCACUCUGCAAACACGAAAGUGGACGUAUAGGGUGUGACGCCUGCCCGGUGCCGGAAGGUUAAUUGAUGGGGUUAGCGCAAGCGAAGCUCUUGAUCGAAGCCCCGGUAAACGGCGGCCGUAACUAUAACGGUCCUAAGGUAGCGAAAUUCCUUGUCGGGUAAGUUCCGACCUGCACGAAUGGCGUAACGAUGGCGGCGCUGUCUCCACCCGAGACUCAGUGAAAUUGAAAUCGCUGUGAAGAUGCAGUGUAUCCGCGGCUAGACGGAAAGACCCCGUGAACCUUUACUAUAGCUUUGCACUGGACUUUGAAUUUGCUUGUGUAGGAUAGGUGGGAGGCUUUGAAGCGUGGACGCCAGUCUGCGUGGAGCCAACCUUGAAAUACCACCCUGGCAACUUUGAGGUUCUAACUCAGGUCCGUUAUCCGGAUCGAGGACAGUGUAUGGUGGGUAGUUUGACUGGGGCGGUCUCCUCCUAAAGAGUAACGGAGGAGUACGAAGGUGCGCUCAGACCGGUCGGAAAUCGGUCGUAGAGUAUAAAGGCAAAAGCGCGCUUGACUGCGAGACAGACACGUCGAGCAGGUACGAAAGUAGGUCUUAGUGAUCCGGUGGUUCUGUAUGGAAGGGCCAUCGCUCAACGGAUAAAAGGUACUCCGGGGAUAACAGGCUGAUACCGCCCAAGAGUUCAUAUCGACGGCGGUGUUUGGCACCUCGAUGUCGGCUCAUCACAUCCUGGGGCUGAAGCCGGUCCCAAGGGUAUGGCUGUUCGCCAUUUAAAGUGGUACGCGAGCUGGGUUUAGAACGUCGUGAGACAGUUCGGUCCCUAUCUGCCGUGGACGUUUGAGAUUUGAGAGGGGCUGCUCCUAGUACGAGAGGACCGGAGUGGACGAACCUCUGGUGUUCCGGUUGUCACGCCAGUGGCAUUGCCGGGUAGCUAUGUUCGGAAAAGAUAACCGCUGAAAGCAUCUAAGCGGGAAACUUGCCUCAAGAUGAGAUCUCACUGGAACCUUGAGUUCCCUAAAGGGCCGUCGAAGACUACGACGUUGAUAGGUUGGGUGUGUAAGCGCUGUGAGGCGUUGAGCUAACCAAUACUAAUUGCCCGUGAGGCUUGACCA
rnacentral:rRNA from 1 species